AGUCGAGCGGAUUGAUGGGAGCUUGCUCCCUGAUAUUAGCGGCGGACGGGUGAGUAACACGUGGGUAACCUGCCUGUAAGAUUGGGAUAACUCCGGGAAACCGGAGCUAAUACCGGAUAAUAUGUUGAACCGCAUGGUUCAACAUUGAAAGAUGGCUUUUGCUAUCACUUACAGAUGGACCCGCGGCGCAUUAGCUAGUUGGUGAGGUAACGGCUCACCAAGGCAACGAUGCGUAGCCGACCUGAGAGGGUGAUCGGCCACACUGGGACUGAGACACGGCCCAGACUCCUACGGGAGGCAGCAGUAGGGAAUCUUCCGCAAUGGACGAAAGUCUGACGGAGCAACGCCGCGUGAACGAUGAAGGCCUUCGGGUCGUAAAGUUCUGUUGUUAGGGAAGAACAAGUACCAGAGUAACUGCUGGUACCUUGACGGUACCUAACCAGAAAGCCACGGCUAACUACGUGCCAGCAGCCGCGGUAAUACGUAGGUGGCAAGCGUUGUCCGGAAUUAUUGGGCGUAAAGCGCGCGCAGGGGUUUCUUAAGUCUGAUGUGAAGCCCACGGCUCACCGUGGAGGGUCAUUGGAACUGGGGAACUUGAGUGCAAAAAGGAAGU
rnacentral:rRNA from 1 species